AGAGUUAAACAGUACGUGAAAUUGUUGAAAGGGAAACGAUUGAAGUCAGUCGUACCGGUGGGUAAUCAGCCUUUCGGUGUGAGAUUAUGUGGAGUAUGAGGAGUUAAACGCCCUUGUACCUGCAUAUUCGUGCUCUUUGGGUGUACUCGCACACAUGUUAGGUUAACAUCAAUUUCGGACGUCAUAAAAUGGUUGGAGGAAUGUAGCUUCGAUCUUGUAUUGAAGUGUUAUAGCCUUCGGCAGAUGUGAUGAUCGGGAUUGAGGAUUGCAACGGAUACCCUUCGGGCUACCCGUCUGAUCUCUGAUGGUUGCUCUGGUGCCGAAAGCGUGCUUACGGUUAUCAAAGUUGACGGUCAACAGGUUAGAACGGGUUAAAUUCGUUAAGGAUGUUGACGUAAUGGCUUUAAACGACC
rnacentral:rRNA from 1 species